UUUCUCUUUUCUUCUUUCUCUUUCUUCUACUUUCUUCUCCAUUCUUCUUCUUCUUGUUCUUUCUCUUUCUUUUCUCUGUCGAUCUCAAUUCGAAGAAUUGAGUUUGUUGUCAAUUAGAGAAUUCGUAGAAACGUGUUAGUAAGUUGAAUCGAAUGAGUAAGUGAUUGUGUUGUGGUUGAAUUAUCUAGGGAGGAGAAGAAUUGGGAUUGUUGUUAAUUGAGUUAGGGUUUCUCAGAGAGUUGAAUUAAAGUUUGAAUUAAUGACGUAUAAGAAGAAUUAAAGAUUGGGUUUAGCUGAUUGAAGUUCUGAAGCAGUUCUUUUGAAGAAUCACAGAACCAGUUAGUUUGUAUUAACAACGAUCGAUUCAAAGGAUGAACCAGCGGAUUGAGGAAUUCAAGGUAGGAGUGGAUUUUCAUCAAAUCAGGGUUGUAAUCUAAGGUUACUUAUCAAAUGGAGAAGAGUAAACUUAUCAAACCUACUUGAAUACAUUGCUAAAGUUGUAUCUUCUCGGACACUACGGUGGAAGGAAAGUUGGAGAAAAAGAUUGACCAACAGAUGUAUAUUUUGGUGUGUCUUCCCAAACAUAUAACAAAUAGAUCACCGAUGUAUCUUUUCAAAUAUAACAACUGGAUUCGCCAAACUUAA